AACGGUGCAGGUAUGCUUAACACAUGCAGUCGGACGAACAAAGCUGAAGCUUGCUUCAGUGACGUGAGUGGCAAACGGGUGAGUAACACGUGGGAAUCUACCCAUCAGUACGGAAUAACAUUUGGAAACAAAUGCUAAUACCGUAUAUUCUCUACGGAGGAAAGAUUUAUCGCUGAUGGAUGAGUCCGCGUAAGAUUAGGUAGUUGGUGGGGUAAUGGCCUACCAAGCCGACGAUCUUUAGCUGGUCUGAGAGGAUGAUCAGCCACACUGGGACUGAGACACGGCCCAGACUCCUACGGGAGGCAGCAGUGGGGAAUAUUGGACAAUGGGCGAAAGCCUGAUCCAGCAAUACCGCGUGAAUGAUGAAGGCCCUAGGGUUGUAAAGUUCUUUUAAUAGGGAAGAUAAUGACGGUACCUAUAGAAAAAGCCCCGGCUAACUCCGUGCCAGCAGCCGCGGUAAGACGGAGGGGGCUAGCGUUAUUCGGAAUUACUGGGCGUAAAGGGCGCGUAGGCGGAUUAGUAAGUUGGGAGUGAAAGUCCGGGGCUUAACCUCGGAACUGCUUUCAAAACUGCUAGUCUUGAGUGAAGUAGGGGGUGAUGGAAUUUCUAGUGUAGAGGUGAAAUUCUUAGAUAUUAGGAGGAACACCGGUGGCGAAGGCGGUCACCUGGACUUCAACUGACGCUGAGGCGCGAAAGCGUGGGGGAGCAAACAGGAUUAGAUACCCUGGUAGUCCACGCCGUAAACGAUGAGUGCUAGAUAUCGAGAAUUAAAUUUUUCGGUUUCGCAGCUAACGCAUUAAGCACUCCGCCUGGGGACUACGAUCGCAAGAUUAAAACUCAA
rnacentral:rRNA from 1 species